UACGUAGGUGGCAAGCGUUGUCCGGAUUUACUGGGCGUAAAGAGCGCGCAGGCGGUCGUUCAAGUCGCGUGUGAAAGCCCCCGGCUCAACUGGGGAGGGUCACGCGAUACUGAUCGACUCGAAGGCAGGAGAGGGUAGUGGAAUUCCCGGUGUAGUGGUGAAAUGCGCAGAUAUCAGGAGGAACACCGGUGGCGAAGGCGGAUCUCUGGGCCUUACCUGACGCUGAGGCGCGAAAGCUAGGGGAGCGAACAGG
rnacentral:rRNA from 1 species